UACGUAGGGUGCAAGCGUUAAUCGGAAUUACUGGGCGUAAAGCGUGCGCAGGCGGUUAUGCAAGACAGAUGUGAAAUCCCCGGGCUCAACCUGGGAACUGCAUUUGUGACUGCAUGGCUAGAGUACGGUAGAGGGGGAUGGAAUUCCGCGUGUAGCAGUGAAAUGCGUAGAUAUGCGGAGGAACACCGAUGGCGAAGGCAAUCCCCUGGACCUGUACUGACGCUCAUGCACGAAAGCGUGGGGAGCAAACGAGG
rnacentral:rRNA from 1 species